GAGGUCGCUUUGUCAAGAAGCCUGACUCUCGCUAGACCACGCACAGCGCGAUCAAGAUUAUGGGGUCCUCCAAGAUUCCUAGAGAGACUCACAGAGGAUUGGCCGGUCGGUGAGAUGAUGUAUUUCCGGGCCAGGAAUCUUUAAAACCUGAGAGCGUGGAUGGUGAGAGGCCGUUAGAAUCCCUCCGUAGGUCCUGAAAAAUCUAAGCCUGCAUUUGCUACAGAACUGAAAGAUUUGAUCAUGGAAGAUAUCACCAUAAAAGCAGAGCCUCAGGAACCAGUGAUAUUUGAAGAUGAGGCUGUGUACUUCACGGAGCAGGAAUUGGCCAGCUUGACACUUGAUCAGAAGGCCCUGCACGAGGAAGUGGUGCUUGAGAACUUUGCACAUGUGGCUUUGCUGGGUGUCUUGGAUCUGGAGAAGGCUUCGUGGCAAGAAGCGGUCAGUGAUGGCAUUCUGCCUCUUGAUGGUCCUGUCUGCAGUGGCUGUCAUUCAUUUCCCUCCAGGGCAUCCAGCUUCCACCCCAGGACUUAAUCCCAUGGAGCCUCGGGGGGAAGUUGGUGCGUCUGACCCCAGGAUUCAGCAGACUUUGAACUCUAGCCUGAGGCAGCCAGCAAGGAACCUGGGCCACUGGACAGGCCAGGCUUUGCCCAGAAAUCCCAUCUUGGUCUGUGCCAAGAAGCAAAGCCGCAGAAGGCAAGUGGACAGAAGCCGACACCCACUGAGUGUCAGGAGAGAUGCGAUACUCAGUGCCCA
rnacentral:lncRNA from 1 species